UUACGGCCACAUCGCGUUGAAAAAUUGGUUCCCGUACGAUCACCGAACGGCUCAGUUAAGCAACGACGAGCUGGGUCAGUACUUUGAUGGGUGACCGCUUGGAAAUACCAGGUGCUGCAAG